rnacentral:rRNA from 1 species
ACGCUGGCGGCGUGCCUAAUACAUGCAAGUCGAACGAGAGCGACCGGUGCUUGCACUGGUCAAUCUAGUGGCGAACGGGUGAGUAACACGUGGGUAACCUGCCCAUCAGAGGGGGAUAACAUUCGGAAACGGAUGCUAAAACCGCAUAGGUUCUACAGUCGCAUGACUGAAGAAGGAAAAGAGGCUUCGGCUUCUGCUGAUGGAUGGACCCGCGGUGCAUUAGCUAGUUGGUGAGGUAACGGCUCACCAAGGCCGUGAUGCAUAGCCGACCUGAGAGGGUGAUCGGCCACAUUGGGACUGAGACACGGCCCAAACUCCUACGGGAGGCAGCAGUAGGGAAUCUUCUGCAAUGGACGCAAGUCUGACGGAGCAACGCCGCGUGAGUGAAGAAGGAUUUCGGUUCGUAAAACUCUGUUGUUAGAGAAGAACAGCGCAUAGAGUAACUGUUAUGCGUGUGACGGUAUCUAACCAGAAAGCCACGGCUAACUACGUGCCAGCAGCCGCGGUAAUACGUAGGUGGCAAGCGUUGUCCGGAUUUAUUGGGCGUAAAGCGAGCGCAGGCGGUCAAUUAAGUCUGAUGUGAAAGCCCCCGGCUCAACCGGGGAGGGUCAUUGGAAACUGGUUGACUUGAGUGCAGAAGAGGAGAGUGGAAUUCCAUGUGUAGCGGUGAAAUGCGUAGAUAUAUGGAGGAACACCAGUGGCGAAGGCGACUCUCUGGUCUGUAACUGACGCUGAGGCUCGAAAGCGUGGGUAGCAAACAGGAUUAGAUACCCUGGUAGUCCACGCCGUAAACGAUGAGUGCUAAGUGUUGGAGGGUUUCCGCCCUUCAGUGCUGCAGUUAACGCAUUAAGCACUCCGCCUGGGGAGUACGACCGCAAGGUUGAAACUCAAAGGAAUUGACGGGGACCCGCA